rnacentral:rRNA from 1 species
CCUACGGGUGGCAGCAGUGGGGAAUAUUGGGCAAUGGACGCAAGUCUGACCCAGCAACGCCGCGUGAAGGAAGAAGGCUUUCGGGUUGUAAACUUCUUUUAAGGGGGAAGAGGAGAAGACGGUACCUGACUAAGAAGCCCCGGCUAACUACGUGCCAGCAGCCGCGGUAAUACGUAGGGGGCAAGCGUUAUCCGGAUUUACUGGGUGUAAGGGGGCGCAGACGGCAGCGCAAGCCAGGAGUGAAAGCCCGGGGCCCAACCCCGGGACUGCUCUUGGAACUGCGCGGCUGGAGUGCAGGAGGGGCAGGCGGAAUUCCUGGUGUAGCGGUGAAAUGCGUAGAUAUCAGGAGGAACACCGGUGGCGAAGGCGGCUUACUGGACUGUAACUGACGUUGAGGCUCGAAAGCGUGGGGAGCAAACAGGAUUAGAUACCCCUGUAGUC